rnacentral:rRNA from 1 species
AUUGAACGCUGGCGGCAGGCUUAACACAUGCAAAUCGAGCGGGGUGAUGGUGCUUGCACUAUCACUUAGCGGCGGACGGGUGAGUAAUGCUUAGGAAUCUGCCUAUUAGUGGGGGACAACAUUUCGAAAGGAAUGCUAAUACCGCAUACGUCCUACGGGAGAAAGCAGGGGAUCUUCGGACCUUGCGCUAAUAGAUGAGCCUAAGUCGGAUUAGCUAGUUGGUGGGGUAAAGGCCUACCAAGGCGACGAUCUGUAGCGGGUCUGAGAGGAUGAUCCACCACACUGGGACUGAGACACGGCCCAGACUCCUACGGGAGGCAGCAGUGGGGAAUAUUGGACAAUGGGCGGAAGCCUGAUCCAGCCAUGCCGCGUGUGUGAAGAAGGCCUUAUGGUUGUAAAGCACUUUAAGCGAGGAGGAGGCUACUUUAGUUAAUACCUAGAGAUAGUGGACGUUACUCGCAGAACAAGCACCGGCUAACUCUGUGCCAGCCGCCGCGGUAAAAC